GUGGGGAAUCUUGCGCAAUGGGCGAAAGCCUGACGCAGCCAUGCCGCGUGAAUGAUGAAGGUCUUAGGAUUGUAAAAUUCUUUCACCGGGGACGAUAAUGACGGUACCCGGAGAAGAAGCUCCGGCUAACUUCGUGCCAGCAGCCGCGGUAAUACGAAGGGGGCUAGCGUUGCUCGGAAUUACUGGGCGUAAAGGGCGCGUAGGCGGACAGCUUAGUCAGAGGUGAAAGCCCAGGGCUCAACCUUGGAAUUGCCUUUGAUACUGGCUGUCUUGAGUUUGGGAGAGGUGAGUGGAACUCCGAGUGUAGAGGUGAAAUUCGUAGAUAUUCGGAAGAACACCAGUGGCGAAGGCGACUCACUGGCCCGUUACUGACGCUGAGGCGCGAAAGCGUGGGGAGCAAUCAGGAUUAGAAACCCGUGUAGUCC
rnacentral:rRNA from 1 species